AACGAACGCUGGCGGCGUGCCUAACACAUGCAAGUCGAACGCGAAAGGGGGGCAACCCCCGAGUAGAGUGGCGCACGGGUGAGUAACACGUGGGUAACCCACCCUAGAGAUCGGGACAACCAGGGGAAACUCUGGCUAAUACCGGAUGCGUCCGAGUUGGCCUCGGCCGACUCGGAGAAAGGUGGCCUAUGCUUGCAAGCCAUCGCUCUUGGACGGGCCCGCGGCCCAUUAGCUAGUUGGUGAGGUAACGGCUCACCAAGGCUGUGAUGGGUAGCUGGUCUGAGAGGAUGAUCAGCCACACUGGGACUGGAACACGGCCCAGACUCCUACGGGAGGCAGCAGUGGGGAAUUUUGCGCAAUGGGGGAAACCCUGACGGCAGCAACGCCGCGUGGGUGAUGAAGGCCCUUGGGUCGUAAAGCCCUGUCGGGUGGGAAGAAGCCCCUGGCGGCGAACAGUCGCUAGGGNUGACGGUACCACUAAAGGAAGCACGGCUAACUCUGUGCCAGCAGCCGUACGG
rnacentral:rRNA from 1 species